rnacentral:lncRNA from 1 species
CAGAGCAAACCAUUCAGGAAAUAAGAAGGUCCUCACUGUACAGAAACAUGGAAGGGUCACAUUAGAGCCUAUGUGUUUUUUUUUUUUUUUUUUUUUUUUUUUUUUUUUUUUUAAGAAAUCCCUCUGUUUUAAAAAUACAGAAAUACAAACAGAAAGAAAAGUUCAGUUUCUCUGCUCUAAAAGAAAGGCCAGCUUAAGCUAGCAGGGAAGGUGAAGCACAUUGCUGUGUCUGGAACUGCCUGACAUUGCACUGGCCCAUUAUGGGAGCUUAUAGCAGUCACCAGAGGUAAACUCUGCUUUGGAAAGAAAUGUUUCUCAGCAGGAAUGCACUUCUAGGAUCUCUUCCUACUCCAGCUGCUACAAUCCAGUGCCUGUGAGCUACCUGCUGAGCCAAGCCAGGAGAGAGCAAGUCCCUGGUGUGGUGCAUCAUCUACAUCUCUAUGAUGAGCUUUCCAGGUGACAAGCCUGCCUGACAGCUUACUGUGACCAGCUAACCACCAUGCUAACAAAGCACUGCUGACGCUGCAGAUCCCGCAGGGAAAGAUGGUGAAAGCAUAGCCCAGACCUGCUCCCACAAUCAAGUCAAACAUGAGUAUGGAAGAAGAGCUUGUGCCUGAUUUUGAAUGCCUGCUGAGAAAGAGAUCUGCACAUGGAAGUUGGAAAAGACUUGGUCUGAUCUCAAAGAUGGAGAUGAGAUACUUCUCCUGGAAUGACAAGGAAGUUUUCUUACCACAGCCAACACAAUUGAGCUGAGAGAGGUGUCCCAGCAGAAGUAAUUCUGCCUGGAAACUAUCUGGCCAAAGCUUUUGACCUAGUUCAGAAACAUAAGACAAAACAGCACAGGGAAAUUCAAGGGAGGUGUGAAGAAAUGAGCCAUAAGAUGCCAGCUCAAGGAAAGAAGGGAACAGACACAGAGAUCACAUCUUGUGUUGGGGCUUCUUAGCUGCAGAAUGGCAGAAUCACCUUUAUUUUUCUACUGGGACAUAUACAGAGAAACCAGAGAUAUUAAAGAGACUGAUGUCUUUGAAUAUUGUGUCUGACAGCACAGUACAAGAAUAAGAAGCCCGGGGAAGACUGCACCAUGAAUUUGCAGGCCCAGUGCUGCAUGGAGCCCACAGAGCUGUGCAGAGCUCUAAUAAAUAACAAGCUGGAGACAAAGGCAGCUAGGAACUUAGAAAACCCAUACCAUGAUCCUGUCUCCUGUGACCCACUAUUUAAUAAAAUUAAUAUUUAACUUUGUGGUUUCAUGUAGAUAACUAACAUGAUAGAUUCAGUUCUACAGAGCUCUACUAUACUGUCUU